AUAUAAGCUGGCUGUGCACCUUAGGCAGCAACCAUUUGAUUUUCUGGGGGGGGCUAUGGUUUUUUUUUCUGUGCAAACUUUUUUUUUCGCCUGCGGCGAAAAACAAUCUAUUUUUUUCGCGACAAGUCGAAAACAAUUUUUUUCUUUCAAUUUUAGCAUUACAUAUAGUGGCAGCUAAGGGUGAAACAAACAAUUUUUUUUUCUCAGAAUCAAAAACAAAUUAUUUUUUUCUCCAAAAACUGGAAACAAACUUUUUUUUCC
rnacentral:lncRNA from 1 species